CUCUCUCCUCCCUGGCAGCCUCAGAUGGCUAGAGCUGAUGAGACAGGCCACCCUUUGCUGGCCUCAUUACCAGCUCUUCCACCGAAGUGUGCCGAGCACAGGGGGAAGCUGAGCCACCAGCAAGAAUUGCCUGGUCCUAUGCCUAAGGACUCAGGACUUCUCCCUUAGCCCCUGACCAGCUGGACUCCUGUCUGCUCUCACCUUGAGGACCCCACCCCGGAUCAAGGUCAUCCCUUCAAUGGCAGAAAUGGCACCAUGACUUCAAGACCUGCGGAAGCUAAUGCUCUUGAGAGUGUCUAGUCAGCCCAACACAUAAGUUUCUCUGUGUCUUUUAGCUGCAUGAGGGUAACUUUAGUAUGACUUACAUUUAAGACUCUACAAACUCAUCAACCAUCCCUCAAGCAUAUCUCUGUCACUGGUACU
ensembl:lincRNA Gm14339 predicted gene 14339